rnacentral:RNase_P_RNA from 1 species
GGAGUUGGCCAGACAGUCGCUCUUUCCGCUUGGAAAGGGAGGAAAGUCCGGGCUCCAUCGGGCAGGGUGCCAGGUAACGCCUGGGGGGCGCGAGUCCACGGAAAGUGCCACAGAAAAGAUACCGCCGGUUCGGGCUUCGCUCGCGCCGGUAAGGGUGAAAUGGUGCGGUAAGAGCGCACCGCGCUGGUGGCAACAUCAGUGGCAGGGUAAACCCCACCCGGAGCAAGACCAAAUAGGGGAACAUGCAGCCUCGGCUGCGGCGCGCGGCCCGCGCGUGUUCCCGGGUAGGUCGCUUGAGGCGCGCGGUGACGCGCGUCCCAGAUGAAUGACUGUCCGCGACAGAACCCGGCUUAUCGGCCGACUCCUUAC